AUGGCCUGGUCCCCUCUCCUUCUCACCUUCAUCGCUCUCUGCACAGGAUCCUGGACCCAGUCUGCGACUCAGCCCCCCUCAGUGUCUGGGACCCUGGGCCAGACAGUCACCAUCUCCUGCUCUGGAAGCAGCUCCAACAUUGGGUAUAGUAGUAGUUAUGUGAGCUGGUACCAACAGAUCCCAGGAACAGCCCCCAAAACCCUCAUCUAUUAUGCCACUAGUAGAGUGUCCGGGGUCCCUGAUCGAUUCUCUGGCUCCAGAUCUGGCAACACAGCCACCCUGACCAUCACUGGGCUCCAGGCUGAGGACGAGGCUGAUUAUUACUGCUCAGCAGCAGACAGCAGCCUGAGGAGUGACACAGUGCUGCAGGCCCGUGGGGAACCUGUGCUGACUCAGUUGCCACCUGCAACUGCCUCCCUGGGAGCCUGGGCCGAGAUCACCUGCAUCCGGAGCAGGGAGCACAGCACCGACAGGUCUCCAUCGUAUCUGCAGCAGACGGGGAAGGUCCUCAGUUUGUGA